UGCCUGCCUUGAAAUUCCUAGGCUUCACUGCUCUCACAGACGCGGAUUAAACAAGUCUGGUCUAGCUGUUCGUUCUGAAGAUUAGAUGAGAUCAUGACUAGAAGGUCUGUGAAAACUUCAACGAGGAAGAGCAAACCCUCCUGACUGGUCUCCUUUGGGCACCAACAGUCCCCUCUGGUUGCUCUGUGAAGAGAUGUGGAAGAGUAAGAAGAAACACCUGCAGACAGAUGAAGAGGCGAUUGCAAUAAUUCAGUUUCUAUAGGUCAAGAAUACAGGAACAGCUUAGCAUGAAGAUCCACAAGCUCCAGCCAAGUCUUCACAUAACAGCAGCUCUAGCUGACCUCUUAGCUGGGAGAUGGGAGCCAGGACCACAGAACUAAGCUGCUGCCAAAUCCCUGACCUACAGAAAGUAUAAGAUAAUAAAUGCUUGUUGUAAAAUCA